UACGUAGGGUGCAAGCGUUGUCCUGAAUUAUUGGGCGUAAAGAGCUCGUAGGCGGUUUGUUGCGUCGGCUGUGAAAUCCCGAGGCUCAACCUCGGGUCUGCAGUCGAUACGAGCAAACUAGAGUGUUGCAGGGGAGACUGGAAUUCCUGGUGUAGCGGUGAAAUGCGCAGAUAUUGGGAAGAACACCAGCGGCGAAAGCGCGCUACUGGGCCAUUACUGACACUCAUGGACGAAAGCUAGGGGAGCGAAAGGG
rnacentral:rRNA from 1 species